GACAGAGGGUGCAAACGUUGUUCGGAAUUACUGGGCGUAAAGCGCGUGUAGGCGGCCCUGCAAGUCGGGUGUGAAAUCCCAUGGCUCAACUAUGGAAGUGCACUCGAAACUGCAGGGCUAGAGUCCUGGAGAGGAAGGUGGAAUGCUUGGUGUAGAGGUGAAAUUCGUAGAUAUCAAGCGGAACACCGGUGGCGAAGGCGGCCUUCUGGACAGUGACUGACGCUGAGACGCGAAAGCGUGGGGAGCAAUCAGG
rnacentral:rRNA from 1 species